UGUGAUGCUGCAAAGAAGGAAAAAAUGUUCUAGGAGGCAUCAGCAGAUGUUUGGUUUAUACGUUUUAUGCAUCUUAAAGAGCUGGAAAGGCCACAACUGAAAUAUGGUAUUCUGUGUUAGACUCUUAUCCAGACCAUUUAAGAGAGUCUGGAAUAUAAACAACAACAACAAAGAAGUAUGGAUAACUUGCUUUGCAGGGUGAAAAUAUUUAGUUUAAAAGGUGGAGGCUGAUAGGGAAGCAUGAGAUUAAUCUUCAACUAUGUUUAUAUCUAAUGCAUGGAAGAAAUGAUUGAUAUGUUCCAUCUCUUCAUGACAGGUAUGAGCAAGACAUAAUGGAUUUCAUUUUCAGUAUGGAUCCACAAAGUCAAAACAUUAGAAUGCCUAUGCAUAGAGGAAGAGUCUCAUUCACUCAAGACUCAGUGAUUUAAAGAGGAGCCAAAAGGCUCGUGAAGAUUAGUUCCCUCUAGCCAUGUUUGCUGUGGUGGGACUUCAGCUCAUGGAAGGUUUUAUUGCCUGGCUGCUCCUGGAGGUCCACGGAAAAAGGACAAGGCCACCAUUUCCCAGGAGCUUGGAUGAGGCUGCCACCACACUCAGACUAAACCAUGGGGUCACAGGAGUGGGAUGCCAAGAGACAUUUUAUAAUGACAGGAGAUGCCAUCAUGUGUGGAACUUUGGUGAAUUCCUUGCACAUAAGAAAACAAAAUGGGAAUAGCCCAGGGAUGAAGCAUUUUACCUAGCAAACUGGAAAAGGAGUUAAUCACUUUGGAACCCCCUCAGGUGGAUGAUAGUGUAUUGAACUUAUCACAAAAUGAAAUCUUUCAUCAGUGCUAUUUAAAUUGUUGUCUUCUUCUCUGACAAGCUGUCUUAUUUAAGACAGGAUAAAGUUACCGUUUUAACAAUCAUUUCAAUAAUAUUAUUCAGAAUGAGCUUUUGGAGAAUUGAAAUACAGCAGAUGAAUUUAAAAUAAAAUAAAAUAAAAUAAAAUAAAAUAAAAUAAA
rnacentral:lncRNA from 1 species